GAGUGGUCAGUCUGGCUCGCGAGAGGAAGCUGUCGAGAAGAGGAACGUAUAUCGAUCGAUGCAGAACUCUUGACAUCGAUCGAUAUGGAUGCCAGAAAGCGGGCUGAACAUAUUUUAUGACCGACUGAAGCCCAUAAGCAACCACAAAUUACCAGAAUAUCCUUGGACGACCAGACACCCUGUUUAUGUUAUUUCUAAGCCAAUGUUGACGGCUACGCUUUCUAUUAUCCUAUUCUAUUGUUUUCUCUUAGGUUUGG
rnacentral:lncRNA from 1 species